UACAGAGGGUGCAAGCGUUAAUCGGAAUUACUGGGCGUAAAGCGUGCGCAGACGGUUGCGUAAGUCAGAUGUGAAAGCCCCGGGCUCAACCUGGGAAUUGCAUUUGAGACUGCGUAGCUAGGGUGCGGAAGAGGGAAGCGGAAUUUCCGGUAUAGCGGUGAAAUGCGUAGAUAUCGGAAGGAACACCAGUGGCGAAAGCGGCUUCCUGGUCCAGCACCGACGUUCAGGCACGAAAGCGUGGGGAGCAAACAGG
rnacentral:rRNA from 1 species